rnacentral:rRNA from 1 species
GAUGAACGCUGACAGAAUGCUUAACACAUGCAAGUCAACUUGAAUUUGGGUUUUUAACUUCGGUUUGGGUGGCGGACGGGUGAGUAACGCGUAAAGAACUUGCCUCACAGCUAGGGACAACAUUUGGAAACGAAUGCUAAUACCUAAUAUUAUGAUAAUAGGGCAUCCUAUAAUUAUGAAAGCUAUAAGCGCUGUGAGAGAGCUUUGCGUCCCAUUAGCUAGUUGGAGAGGUAACGGCUCACCAAGGCGAUGAUGGGUAGCCGGCCUGAGAGGGUGAUCGGCCACAAGGGGACUGAGACACGGCCCUUACUCCUACGGGAGGCAGCAGUGGGGAAUAUUGGACAAUGGACCAAGAGUCUGAUCCAGCAAUUCUGUGUGCACGAUGAAGUUUUUCGGAAUGUAAAGUGCUUUCAGUUGGGAAGAAAGGAAUGACGGUACCAACAGAAGAAGUGACGGCUAAAUACGUG